rnacentral:rRNA from 1 species
UACGUAGGGUGCAAGCGUUGUCCGGAAUUAUUGGGCGUAAAGAGCGUGUAGGCGGCCAGGUAGGUCCGUUGUGAAAACUCGAGGCUUAACCUCGAGACGUCGAUGGAAACCAUCUGGCUAGAGUCCGGAAGAGGAGAGUGGAAUUCCUGGUGUAGCGGUGAAAUGCGCAGAUAUCAGGAAGAACACCCGUGGCGAAGGCGGCUCUCUGGGACGUGACUGACGCUGAGACGCGAAAGCGUGGGGAGCAAACAGG